rnacentral:rRNA from 1 species
GACGAACCACACAAACGUUAUUCGGAAUUACUGGGCUUAAAGGGUGCGUAGGCGGCGCGGUAAGUUGGGUGUGAAAUCCCUCGGCUCAACCGAGGAAUUGCGCUUGAUACUGCCGUGCUCGAGGGAGACAGAGGUGAGCGGAACUUAGGGUGGAGCGGUGAAAUGCGUUGAUAUCCUAAGGAACACCAGUGGCGAAAGCGGCUCACUGGGUCUCUUCUGACGCUGAGGCACGAAAGUUAGGGGAGCGAACGGG